UCGGGGUAUUCCACAAAAAAUUACCCUGCGGGAUGAAAUAUUCCUCGGGCUUCGCCCUCGCCCUCGGAAUAUUUCAUCCCUCAGGGUAAUUUUUUGUGGAAUACCCCU